rnacentral:rRNA from 1 species
CAAGUCGAGCGAACGGACGAGAAGCUUGCUUCUCUGAUGUAAGCGGCGGACGGGUGAGUAACACGUGGAUAACCUACCUAUAAGACUGGGAUAACUUCGGGAAACCGGAGCUAAUACCGGAUAAUAUUUUGAACCGCAUGGUUCAAAAGUGAAAGACGGUCUUGCUGUCGCUUAUAGAUGGAUCCGCGCUGCAUAAGCUAGUUGGUAAGGUAACGGCUUACCAAGGCAACGAUGCAUAGCCGACCUGAGAGGGUGAUCGGCCACACUGGAACUGAGACACGGUCCAGACUCCUACGGGAGGCAGCAGUAGGGAAUCUUCCGCAAUGGGCGAAAGCCUGACGGAGCUACGCCGCGUGAGUGAUGAAGGUCUUCGGAUCGUAAAACUCUGUUAUUAGGGAAGAACAUAUGUGUAAGUAACUGUGCACAUCUUGACGGUACCUAAUCAGAAAGCCACGGCUAACUACGUGCCAGCAGCCGCGGUAAUACGUAGGUGGCAAGCGUUAUCCGGAAUUAUUGGGCGUAAAGCGCGCGUAGGCGGUUUUUUAAGUCUGAUGUGAAAGCCCACGGCUCAACCGUGGAGGGUCAUUGGAAACUGGAAAACUUGAGUGCAGAAGAGGAAAGUGGAAUUCCAUGUGUAGCGGUGAAAUGCGCAGAGAUAUGGAGGAACACCAGUGGCGAGGGCGACUUUCUGGUCUGUAACUGACGCUGAUGUGCGAAAGCGU